GGCUAACACCCUUGCCAAAAGAGGAGUAUCCUCUGAGAACAGCUACUUUCUUUCCCAAACAUCUUCAAGGUCUCCAGCGGGAAUAAAUUCUCUCGGGGGAGUUUGAGUCCGGAGGAGAUCACCCCACCACUGACGAGGUCCGGGCAGCGUGGCAGCACCAGCAGCGGACGCCAGGACUCGCUGUUCCUUUUUCCUAUGCAUAUACCUCUUUGAGAGCUAGCUUUAAAGAGGCAUGGCGUAUGGGAAAAUGGGGCUGUAGAGGUAAUCUGCUGGGCUACUCUCCACCCUCAUCUGCCGUCCCAGGACACUGCUCAACAGGGAACCACCACCCCCACCCAAACCUGCAGCAGGCUCCACCCGACGCCAGACGCCGUGGAGCUCCAUCUUUCUCUGACUCCCUGAAGCUCCAUCUUUCUCUGCCUCCCUGAAGCUCCAUCUUUCUCUGACUCCCCUGAAGCUCCAUCUUUCUCUGACUCCCCUGAAGCUCCAUCUUUCUCUGACUCCCCUGGAGCUGCAUCUUUCUCUGACUCCCCUGAAGCUCCAUCUUUCUCUGACUCCCUGAAGCUCCAUCUUUCUCUGACUCCUCACUGCCAGAACCUUGGCUCUGGUUCAGUGUCCAUGUUACUCCUUUCAUUUGUCAUUGCAAUAUUCAGCACUUGGCUUAAAAUAUUAUAUUUGUCUUGUUUUCUGCUUGCUUGCUUUGUCAUGAUGAAUUAAGGCUAAGGACAGAGAAAACAAAUUUCAUUGUUUAAUAAAACCAGCUGUGCACCAGAUACUGUUUGCCGUUUUUCAUCUAUUUCUGUAAUCAGUACAACCUACUUGAUUUAUUCACUUUACCUGAGUACAUUGCAUCUCCAAUAAAGUUGUUCUGUACAGUACAUACAA